rnacentral:rRNA from 1 species
AUGAACGCUGGCGGCGUGCCUAAUACAUGCAAGUCGAGCGAACGGACGAGAAGCUUGCUUUUCUGAUGUUAGCGGCGGACGGGUGAGUAACACGUGGAUAACCUACCUAUAAGACUGGGAUAACUUCGGGAAACCGGAGCUAAUACCGGAUAAUAUUUUGAACCGCAUGGUUCAAAAGUGAAAGACGGUCUUUCUGUCACUUAUAGAUGGAUCCGCGCUGCAUUAGCUAGUUGGUAAGGUAACGGCUUACCAAGGCAACGAUGCAUAGCCGACCUGAGAGGGUGAUCGGCCACACUGGAACUGAGACACGGUCCAGACUCCUACGGGAGGCAGCAGUAGGGAAUCUUCCGCAAUGGGCGAAAGCCUGACGGAGCAACGCCGCGUGAGUGAUGAAGGUCUUCGGAUCGUAAAACUCUGUUAUUAGGGAAGAACAUAUGUGUAAGUAACUGUGCACAUCUUGACGGUACCUAAUCAGAAAGCCACGGCUAACUACGUG